AAACUCAAAGGAAUUGACGGGGACCCGCACAAGCAGCGGAGCGUGUGGUUUAAUUCGUUGCUACACGAAGAACCUUACCUGGGUUUGACAUAUAGGUUGUAGGGAACUGAAAAGGGACCGACCCUUCGGGGAGCCUAUACAGGUGUUGCAUGGCUGUCGUCAGCUCGUGUCGUGAGAUGUUCGGUUAAGUCCGCUAACGAGCGCAACCCUCACUGUGUGUUAUAUGUGUCACACGGGACUGCCGGUUUUAAGCCGGAGGAAGGUGGGAUGACGUCAAGUCAGCAUGGCCUUUAUAUCCUGGGCUACACACACGCUACAAUGGUCGGUACAAUAGGUUGCCAAGCCGCGAGGCGGAGCCAAUCCAAAAAAGCCGGCCUCAGUUCAGAUUGUAGGCUGCAACUCGCCUGCAUGAAGAUGGAGUUGCUAGUAACCGCAGGUCAGCAAUACUGCGGUGAAUACGUUCCCGGGUCUU
rnacentral:rRNA from 1 species